UGUACUGUCCAGAAACACUUCUGGCCAAUGCUAAUUGCUAAACUGCACAAGCCAGGAAGUAAGUGUCUGAACUUUGCAGAGGUCAUAAUUAUAGACACAGCAGUGAAGCGUAGAAAGCUACAGAGACAUUAGUGAAUGAAACAGACAAGCUGGGUGUAUAAUGGUGCCAUCUGCUGGUGUAGACCAAUAUUACACUGGUAUUGUGUGGAAAUUUCUAGUUAACAAGGAAACUGCAUAAAGAAAGAACGCUCUGUUUAAUGUUUACGUCAACCUGUGUUCAGUACCAUCCUUAUUUCAAGAAAAAAUGCAAUCACAUCGCAUCUGAAUCUAGAGAAUUACAGACCAGUCACACACACAGAGUAUUGGAGCCAAUGGGAGCUGUGAGACUGUGGUUAUAGAGUUGCUAUAGGCAGAAGAAAAAAGGUUGGGAAAAACACAACUGUAUUUGGAAAUGAGCAACUGGCUGCAAUCUGCAGGGACACACAGCUGAAAGCUUCAUUUACAUAUGAAGAAGAAAGGGCGUAUGGGCAAGCAACUCUUGUUGAACAAUAACUACUUACUAAUCUAACCAGCAUAGCACUUCAAGGAGGCUGAAUGACAAAAUGAUUUUUAUUCUAGCUAACAGCCAUUGCUCAGAUCCAUACAUUGAGGCUUGUACCUCACAGUCAGAGUGGCUACUAUGGUGUGUCCAUCACUAUUUGGAACAAAAACAAACAACUGUCGGCUGCUAUGUGGUAAAUGUGAACAAAGGUAAAUCAAGAGCCAAGUGACUAUAGCAUUAUAGCCAAGAGAGGUUUGUGGCUGUGGCUGCCCUACUGAGGGAAAGAUACAGAUGCCUACACAUGUGUGUUUGAGUGGGGAAGGUAGCAUUCGCACUUACGAAAAAUCUCUCCAGGAUGUGUCACCACAGUUUUGCCAUGUAAUGUUUUCUGACCUCGAAGAUGCUGAAUAUGUAAUUAAAGGUCACAGCCUAUAAGCAGCGAUUGUAAUUCAGUCACCUGAGGAACAAAUUUGAUCAUUAAUAGCUGCAGGAGUGUCUCUGCACAAUGAUUUAUGGAAAAGGUCUGGAAGGAAGUGAAU